rnacentral:rRNA from 1 species
UACGGAGGGUGCGAGCGUUGUCCGGAAUCACUGGGCGUAAAGGGCGCGUAGGUGGCGCGAGUAGUCAACGGGUGAAAGCCCCGGGGCUCAACCCCGGGUCGGCCGUCGAUACUCUCGUGCUUGAGCACUGUAGAGGCAGGUGGAAUUCCGGGUGGUAGCGGUGGAAUGCGUAGAGAUCCGGAAGAACACCGGUGGCGAAGGCGGCCUGCUGGGCAGUAGCUGACACUGAGGGCGCGGACAGCGUGGGGAGCGAACGGG